GUUCACGGUGCAUUCUUUAUGGAAUAUGUUGAGCAAACCUGGAGAAGCUUCAGCUCAAGAUAUUAUUGUUGUCAUUGCUGUGGAUCUUUACCUGAUACACUGACUUGGCUCGGGACCAGCACUCCUGUUGUUGGACAGAAAGACAUCAACUCAGUGACUUGAGAUAUGACUGCACUAUGCUGUUGCUGUGACUCCAGUUAAUUCUACAAGACAUGCUGUG